rnacentral:lncRNA from 1 species
UUCCUCCAUUGCGGCCAAUCAUCAACGGAAAAUAAGGUAAACCCAAAAUCCAUUGAUUGAUCCUCCUCUCCUUUCUCUUUAGCAAAUGAAUCAUACUUUUAGGUUGAUUAUUGUCGGAUUUUCCUUCAAAAACUAAGCCUUUGAUUUCUCUUAUUUUUUCAUGAUUUUUAUGGUUUUCGUCGGUGCCAUUCAAUGCCGCUGACUAUCGGAUUAGAAUCUUGAGUUGCACCACCAUAGCCCGCAUCCUCGGCCACCA